GGGUCCGCCGGGGCAUCGGACUCUCCUGGCUGCGGUGAUGCACAGCGCAGCGGUGCGGGGUGCCGCCUGGGCCGCCUCUGCCGCUCCUCUCCUCCCGGCUCGGCUCCCGGGGCCACCGCGGCACGCCAUGGCUGCCGGCCUGCUGCGCGUCGCCCCCCCGGAGAGGCUGCUCCAGCCUCUGGCUGUGUCGCAGAGGCUGCUGCUGGGGCCGGGGCCCAGCAAUGUGCCCCCUCGCAUCCGGGCCGCGGGGGGCCAGCAGCUCCUGGGCCCCAUGCACCCUGAGAUGCUGCAGAUCAUGGACGAGAUCAAGGCAGGCAUCCAGUACGCCUUCCAGACACACAACCCGCUGACCCUGGCCAUCAGCGGCACCGGCCACUGCGCCAUGGAGGCUACUCUCCUCAACCUGGUUGAGCAGGGUGACACCGUGCUGGUGGCCGUCAACGGCAUCUGGGGCGAGCGCGCGGCCGACAUCGCCGGGAGAUUGGGGGCCAACGUCCAUAAGCUGCUGAAGCCCCUGGGCGAGUACUUCACCCUGCGGGACAUUGAGGAGGGCCUGGUGAGGCACAAGCCCUUAAUGCUCUUCAUCACCCACGGCGAGUCCUCCACGGGUGUGCUGCAGCCGCUGGAGGGGCUGGGCGAGCUGUGCCACCGGCAUGGCUGCCUGCUGCUCGUGGACUCGGUGGCAUCGCUCGGGGGAGCGCCCAUCCUCAUGGACCAGCAGGAGAUUGACGUCUUGUACUCAGGGUCUCAGAAAGUCCUCAGUGCCCCCCCUGGCAGUGCCCCCAUCUCGUUCAGCGAGCGAGCCAGGGAGAAGAUGCUGAGGAGGAAGACGAAGCCUCGCUCCUUCUACCUAGACAUGGGCUGGCUGGCAAACUACUGGGGCUGCGACGGCAAGCCACGAAUGUACCACCAUACGGCGCCCAUCAACAGCUUCUUCAGCCUGCGGGAGGGCUUGGCGAUGCUGGCUGAGCUGGGUCUGGAAAGCUUGUGGGAGCGCCACCGGGCCAACUGCACCUACCUGUGCGAGGGGCUGCAGGACCUGGGGCUUGAGCUCUUUGUGAAGGAGGAGAAGGCAAGACUUCCCACCGUCACCACCGUCAAAGUGCCCACGGGCUACGACUGGAAGGAGAUCACGGCCUUUGUCAUGAACAAACACGCCAUCGAGAUCGCUGGGGGCCUGGGCCCCUCGGCAGGCAAGGUUCUUCGAAUUGGCCUCAUGGGCUACAACUCAACCAGAGCCAAUGCGGACAAGGUGCUCUGCGCCCUGAGAGACGCCCUCCAGCACUGUCACCAGAGCAAGCUGUGAGCGCCCUGUGCCGUGGCUGCAGACGGGGUCCAGCCAAGGGCAUGACAGCCCUUCUGCAAGCUGACGAUCAGGCCGGAGGCAGGACCCACCUCCAGGUAUCCAGAGAUGUGAAACACCCAUUCCAGGGCCCAGCUCUACCUGGGGGAACUGACAGGCCGUGCACCCACAUCCAGCUGCGAUGAACACGCGCUCAUUCCCUGGUACCACCUUUCCUGAAUAAAGUGACAUAGCACCA